rnacentral:rRNA from 1 species
UCCUACGGGAGGCAGCAGUAGGGAAUCUUGCGCAAUGGGCGAAAGCCUGACGCAGCCAUGCCGCGUGAAUGAUGAAGGUCUUAGGAUUGUAAAAUUCUUUCACCGGGGAAGAUAAUGACGGUACCCGGAGAAGAAGCCCCGGCUAACUUCGUGCCAGCAGCCGCGGUAAUCG